UUUGGAUGUAGUUAGCAAGGAGAAGAAGUUGUUAUUCAUUUCUUUGUAUUUCUUAAUCUGGGGUGAAGCCGCUAACAUCCGAUUCAUUCCAGAAUGCCUGUGCUACAUAUUUCAUCAUAUGGGAAGGGAGCUGGAGGAGUUACUACGACAACAGGUUGCACAGCCGGCUAAGAGCUGUAUGUCUGAUAAUGGCGUGUCAUUUCUUGAUCAAGUUAUAUGUCCUGUUUAUGAUGCCAUUGCGGCGGAGGCUGGAAACAAUGAGAAUGGCCG
rnacentral:misc_RNA from 1 species